rnacentral:tRNA from 1 species
GGAGACGUGGCCGAGUGGUCGAAGGCGCUCCCCUGCUAAGGGAGUAAACCGCAAGGUUU